UGCCAAGGAGGGAGAGGCGGUCAGGUGUCGCAUACAUCCAUGAUGACAAAGAGCGUGAUGGCUCCUUCUUCAAGAGGCGCAGUGGUUUGUUCAAGAGCGCUGCUAACCUCAAUGCCCUCACCGGUGCUAGGGUUGCUAUCAUCCUAGAGGGGAGCAAUGUUGUUAUGCUCUUUCAGACAAACCAUCCUACAAUGGAUUUCUUGGGAUGGAUGCUUAAUUGGGUAAUGAUGGUACUAAGUAGACAUUCUUCUAUAGGAAAUGGUGAAUGUGUUUAUGCGCAAUAGGAAUCUUCUUCCAGCGAGCAAGAUGUUGAUGCUUGGGUGCAAUCUGAAGGACUUAGUUAGAAGCUAGUUAGACUUACAUUUUAGUUUUAUAUCAGAAUGAAAGCUAGUUACAUUACCACCUGGAAAAUGUUACCAUUUGGACAUUUUACUAAGCCCCUUCCAGGCAAUAAUAUACAUGUUCAGUGUUGUAGGUCUUGGAACAUGGAAGUUUUUUUUCUAUGUGCCGCUUCAUAUUUUCAUUAUAAUCAAAUAUUUUAUUUUCUUUGUGAGAUGUUAUGUAUCUUAUGGGUGAAGGAAGAGGAAACCUUGAUUUAUAAUACCACCCCUCUUAGCAUAUUCUGAUCCAACCAUUAGUAAUUAACAGAAAAUGGGAGCUAUGCGGAGUAAGUAACUAAAAGGUAGCACAAGUUCAUAUUUCCACUCAAGCGACAAGCAUCAAUUGCUUUAAUUGCAUAAGUGUAUGAAAAAUAAGAACAACUCAAUAUGAGAUUCAUUUGAAAUCACGGUAAAUCAAUGUUUUAUUAAUAGAUGCCAAUGCUUUAUUGUCAUUAAAUUAAAACCAUAGUAUACCUGCGAGGACAUGGCGGCCACCUAAUUCUCCAUUUCAGUUUCAGUAGCAGGAAACAACAAAUUUAUGAAAUGAAUCUACUUUUGUUGCCUUCGUUGGUUUUUAUCCUUGAAUAAAAAGUGAUUUUUUUGUAAUGAUAUUGCUCAUCUAAUUAAUAAAUUAGACCAUCGGCCGAUUGCAUUAUGCAAUUGUUCUAAUCUUCUCACCGUUGAAAGAGCAUGGUGCCCCAAUGUUUGGUUUUUGUAAUUGAUGACAAUCUCUAUGGAUUAAUGGUUGCUUUGAGUUAUAUUUGAAAGGUUAUCCAUAGGCAAUGCUUGAAUACCAUAUGUUGGUUUCAAGGUUGAAAGAAGAAUAUUAUUUGUUGACCAAGGUGUUAUUCAUGGAGUUAUCCAAAGAUUGGUCCUGUAAGAGUUGAGUCUAUUGCAAGCAUGUCCUGAAAAAGAAGAUUAUGUGAACAUUCAUGUAGCCUUCAAUACAUCAUCUUUAUGAAGAGAGAGGAUAAGAUACAAGGUUGAUCAAGACUAAGUACAAAGAAUGGAUUCAAGUUGAUGAACACACAAAGCAUAGAAGAUGUACCGAGUCAAAUCAAGUGAUCUCACGGUAUGGUAAGCAUUGUCCAUUAUGCUUUGUGUAACACAUGAUCUAUUUGUGUGGUGUUCCUAUGUGGGGCUACUUUUUUUCCAUGGGCUUACAUCAAGAGGAAGAUAUCAGAUAACCCAUGGAGGAUGACAUCAUGUGGUGAUCGUCAUCAAUGUUAUGUUGAGCAAGUUCAAGUGGAGCAUCACAAAGAGAUCACAUGCUUGAAGCUUGCCAUCCAUUCUAGUGAUAAUGGACUUGUGAAGAUGUGCCAAAGAGAGGCUCACCCAUAGUGGAGUAUGGGGGAGCAAUAUAUUAGUCUUCAUCGAGCUAGCGCAAUCAGAAAGGUGGUCCAACGUGAGGAGGACGAGAUCAUCAUCAUCUAGCUCAAGUGGACUAUGUGCAAGGCAAAGGUUUGACCUUAAUAGGUUUUCUGUUUUACCGAUCUGAUGGUGUUAGUUGGGAGACCGGGUUGAAGGAUUGAUUCACGUACUAUCAAGGGGGCUCUCGAGUGAGUAGCUUGAUCGUAUCAUUCAUAGAGAGCUCAAACCAUUGCAUCAUCGGCAUCAUCUUUCUUGGUUCUUGUUUGGCUUUUCUCUAUGUGAGUUUUGGAGCUUGUGGUCAUCUCCAUGACAAGUUCAAGUUCAUCAAAAAUGGAUUUCAUAUGCAGCAUCUAUUGUGUUUUCGAUGUAGGAGUUUUUGCCAGUUCUUCACUCAUGUAUAUUUCACACCUAUCAAGUUUCAAUUCAUCAAAAUCAAAGUUCAUUUGCCGAAGGUAUGCCUGUUUUGGUCUUAAUUACUUGCAUUCAACUGUUGUGCUUUGGUAUUUUGGUAGAGGGCAAGCGUUCUGCUUGGGCUGAGCCUUCUGUUGCCCCUCAACAUUUCGCGGUAGUACCGCUUGCUACUGGUGGUAGUACUGCUUAUGCAGUACUUCCGCUGGUUGGUGUCGUGGCUACCUCUGGUUGUGUUUAGUCUUCUGUAUGCCUCUGGCAAUUUGCGGUAGUACCGCUGCUUCCAACGGUAGUACCGCUUGAUGUGGUUCUUCCGCUCUAGUGCCGCUUGAACUACUGCUAGUUUGUCUGUUAGCCUAUUGACAAUUAGUGGCAGUACCGCUUGCUGUAGCCGGUGGGACCGCUCCGGCAGAACUAGAAUGCGAGUACCACUAUGGUACUCGAUGAGCCUCAGUGAAACUGCCGCUCUUAGCGGUAGUACCGCUUGAGCAUGACCAGUGCAUAAUGGUUGUAUUCUUGCCCCCACUAUAAAAGGGGGUCUUCUUCACCAUUGCUACUAGCAACUUUGAGCAAGCUUUCUCCUCCAUUAUUGACCUCCAAAAUCUUUGCUUUACCUCUAUCCCUCCCAUGGUUCUUGCAUCAUUUUGAGGGGAAAGAGAGAGGAUAUCUAGAUUCUAUAUCUUCAUUUCCACUAAUCCAUCUUACGUCUAAGUGAGGGCAACCCUUUGGAUCUAAAUCUUCGAGUUCUUUUGUGUUCUCCUUGUUCUUCCUCACAUAUUCCUCCAUAGCUUUCGUUACUUUGUGGGAUUUGAGAGAUGUGGGACUUGAGCACUUAGUGUGUUCUUGCCAUUACAUUAGUUGCAUCGGUUCGAGUUCUCCAUGAUGAUACAUGGAAGUGAAAGUCGAGAAGCUUACUAGUACCUUUUGGGUAUUUGGGUGUCCUAGAUGAUUGGUGGUGUCACAAAGCUCAAUCAUUGUUGUGUAAAGCUUCGGGAAAGCUUUGGGGUCUCUAAUACGUCCAUUUUAUAUCAUGUUUUCCUACUACUAUUUCUAAUGGUUUAGAGCUAUAUUUCACCUUUGAUGCAAUUCCAAUGCCUUUUCUCUCUUAAUUGCCAGUUAUAUCACAAGAGGAAGAUUGCCGACAGCUGGAAUUCUGGACCUGAAAAGUGCUACAACAGAGAUAGCUAUUCUCUUGAGCUCCAAAUGACCUAAAUUUUUCCAAAGAUUUGUUUUGAAAUAUAUAAAAAAUACUAGAAGCAAAAUGCACUGGAGGGGACGCACUAGGGAGCUACAAGCUCGGGGGCGCGCCCACCCCCUGGGGCGCACCUGGUGAGCUUAUGGGUCCCACAGAAGGCCUAUGUGGCCCAUCGUCUCCUAUAUGAAGCCAUUUUCCCUAUAAAAAUAAUCAAGAGAAGACUUAGCGCCACCGUCUCGAGGCGGAACCUGGGCAGGAGCACUUUUGCUCUCUGGCAGAGCGAUUCCACCAGGGAAACUUCCCUCUGGGAGGGGGAAAUCAAAGCCAUCAUCAUCAUCAACAAUGUUCCUUUCAUCAUGGGAGGACUCAUCUCCGUCAACAUCUUCACUAGCACCAUCUCACUUCAAACCCUAGUUCAUCUCUUGUAUUCAAUCUUUGUCUCAAACCUCAGAGUGGUACAUGUGGGUUGCUAGUAGUGUUGAUUACAUCUUGUAGUUGAUUUACUUGGUGGAAGAUCAUAUCUUUAGAUUUUUAAUCAUAUAAUUCUCCUCUUAUCAUGAACAUGAAUAUGAUGUGUGAGUAGUUUCUUUUAUUCUUGAGGAAACAGGAGAAGUCUUGUUAUAAGUAAUCAUGUGAAGUUGGUUUUCAUUCAAUAUUUUGAUGAUGUGCUAUGUUGUUCUUCCUCUAGUGGUGUCAUGUGAAUGUCGACUACAUGUCACAUUAUCAUGUUUGAGCCUAGGGGAAGGCAUUGUGGGAUUAGUCAGUAGAUGAUGGGUUGCUAGAGUGAUAGAAGCUUAAAUCCUAGUUUAUGCGCUAUGUCGUAAGGAGCUGAUUUGGAUCCAUAUGUUUCAUGCUAUGGUUGGAUUUAUCUUAAUUCUUCUUUCGUAGUUGUGGAUGCUUGCGAGAGGGGAUAAGCAUAUCUAGAUUAAGGAUAUGGAUGUACUCAGAUAGAAAUUUAAUGGUAUUAAUUUUAUAAUUUGUUUGGACGUGUGUUAGUGGUUCUAAAAAGGAUGUGAAUACACACAUAUAGCAAAAAUAUAUACAUUAGUGGUUCCAAAGAAUUACGUUAAGGUACUCAUAUAUGAAUAUAUGGCUAGCAGUCAAUACCGUAUGAAACUAGUAUUCUUAAAGAUUAUCUAUGUCAACUCUUACAAAAGAUUACAAGGUCCAAUUCUAGUCAAACAGCAAUGCUUCUAUAUCAAUUGCUAAUAAAUUUGGAUGUAUGGAUAAGGAUGAACUUUAACUAUCGUCCAUGUAUUGCAAAAAGUAUAAUUGACACCAAUGUUUCUUGUACACGAUUCUACAAAUCUCUCUAGCAAGUUGUCCCAACAUGCCGAUACAAACAUGAAACCUAGACAAUUUUUAGGGUCCUUGGGGUGAUACUUCUAUAUAAGGGGGGCACAUCUCCGCAUAUCUCCCACUAACAUGUCGUUAGCCAAUGGUUUUGGUAAAUCUCUAGCAUUUCGUAGAUUCUUGUUGCUCUUGUUUAUAGUAGUAAGUUUCAUUUUCUUCAUAGGAUUUAGUAUGCCAAGGAGGGAGAGGCGGUCAGGUGUCGCAUACAUCCAUGAUGACAAAGAGCGUGAUGGCUCCUUCUUCAAGAGGCGCAGUGGUUUGUUCAAGAGCGCUGCUAACCUCAAUGCCCUCACCGGUGCUAGGGUUGCUAUCAUCCUAGAGGCGAGCAAUGGUGUUAUGCUAUUUCAGACAAACCAUCCUACAAUAGAUUUCUUGGGAUGGAUGCUUAAUUGGGUUAUGAUGGUACUAAGUAGACAUUCUUCUAUAGGAAAUGGUGAAUGUGUUUAUGCGCAAUAGGAAUCUUCUUCCAGCGAGCAAGAUGUUGAUGCUUGGGUGUAAUCUGAAGGACUUAGUUAGAAGCUAGUUAGACUUACAUUUUAGUUUUAUAUUGGAAUGAAAGCUAGUUACAUUACCAC
rnacentral:lncRNA from 1 species